AUUGAACGCUGGCGGAAUGCUUUACACAUGCAAGUCGAACGGCAGCACGGACUUCGGUCUGGUGGCGAGUGGCGAACGGGUGAGUAAUGUAUCGGAACGUGCCCAGUCGUGGGGGAUAACGUAGUGAAAAUUACGCUAAUACCGCAUACGAUCUAUGGAUGAAAGCGGGGGAUCGCAAGACCUCGCGCGAUUGGAGCGGCCGAUAUCAGAUUAGGUAGUUGGUGGGGUAAAGGCCACCAAGCCAACGAAUCGUAGUAGGGCUGAGGGGACGACCAGCCACACUGGAACUGAGACACGGUCCAGACUCCUACGGGAGGCAGCAGUGGGGAAUUUUGGACAAUGGGCGAAAGCCUGAUCCAGCCAUUCCGCGUGCAGGAUGAAGGCCCUCGGGUUGUAAACUGCUUUUGUACAGAACGAAAAGGUUUCUACUAAUACUAGGAGCUCAUGACGGUACUGUAAGAAUAAGCACCGGCUAACUACGUGCCAGCCGCCGCGGUAA
rnacentral:rRNA from 1 species